rnacentral:rRNA from 1 species
GGUGGCCUCUAUUUAUAAGCUAUCACUGAAGGAGGGGAUUGCGUCUGAUUAGCUAGUUGGAGGGGUAACGGCCCACCAAGGCGAUGAUCAGUAGCCGGUCUGAGAGGAUGAACGGCCACAUUGGGACUGAGACACGGCCCAGACUCCUACGGGAGGCAGCAGUGGGGAAUAUUGCACAAUGGGCGAAAGCCUGAUGCAGCGACGCCGCGUGAGGGAUGACGGCCUUCGGGUUGUAAACCUCUUUCGCUCAUGGUCAAGCCGCAGCUUUGGGUUGUGGUGAGGGUAGUGGGUAAAGAAGCGCCGGCUAACUACGUGCCAGCAGCCGCGGUAAUACGUAGGGCGCGAGCGUUGUCCGGAAUUAUUGGGCGUAAAGGGCUUGUAGGCGGUUGGUCGCGUCUGCCGUGAAAUCCUCUGGCUUAACUGGGGGCGUGCGGUGGGUACGGGCUGACUUGAGUGCGGUAGGGGAGACUGGAACUCCUGGUGUAGCGGUGGAAUGCGCAGAUAUCAGGAAGAACACCGGUGGCGAAGGCGGGUCUCUGGGCCGUUACUGACGCUGAGGAGCGAAAGCGUGGGGAGCGAACAGGAUUAGAUACCCUGGUAGUCCACGCUGUAAACGUUGGGCACUAGGUGUGGGGGCCACCCGUGGUUUCUGCGCCGUAGCUAACGCUUUAAGUGCCCCGCCUGGGGAGUACGGCCGCAAGGCUAAAACUCAAAGGAAUUGACGGG